rnacentral:misc_RNA from 1 species
CGGAAAGAUUAUGUGGAUCUCCACCGAACCACUGAACAGGAGAGGGAUAGUAUUGAACAUGAGGUUAUGGCAUUUAUCAAAGCAUGUAAAGAACAAAUUGAUUUUCUUAAAAAUAGCAUAAAUGAUNNNNNNNNNNNNACUAAGGGUUGGCUUGGCAUCAGAGGUGACAACUCCAAUACUGACACUGUAGCACACAAACAUGGGGUGGUUUUGAUUCUAAGUGAGAAACUCCAUUCAGUAACAG